AUAUAUGAAUUGCAACGUAUGCAUUCUUAAUUGACGAUUACAGGUUUAGUUAAAGGGUUUUGUUUGCAAUAGAUACAUAAGAAAUAACAUUUGGAAGGUGCUGAAGAUAUGGGACAAGCAUAAUAUGGAAGCGGAGAGAUUGAUCGUGGUGAUGGAAAGAUUGUAAGCUGGUCAUUUAAAGGUCAGAUAGAUGGAUUUGAGUGGAAAUACAAAGGUAUUUGUGUGGAUAGAACCACUGGUGAAACAGCUACUGCUAUAACACAAAGCAAAGGAGGGGCAAUUGAGCAUUCCAUGAAAGACCUGUUCCAGAGGCUGGCAUCACAGAAUGCGUUAUAACAUUUUUAUAUUUAUUUGUACGCAUCAGUACUAUGUUAUGUAUUAUAUUUCAAAAAGUAGACUUCCGGCGAUUUCUAUUUUGGUUUUCAUAUACUUUCUAACAUGGUAUGAAUCUUAUUAAACAUUUAGAUCUAUAAAAAAGAAGAUGUGGUAUGAUUGCCAAUGAAACAACUAUCCACAAAAGACCAAAAUGACACAAACAUUAACAAUUAUAGGCCACCGUACGGCCUUCAAUGAGCAAAUCCCAUACCGCUUAUAGUCACCUAUAAAAGGCCCCGAUAAGACAAUGUAAAACAAUUCAAGCGAGAAAACUAACGGCCUUAUUUAUGUAAAAAAAGUGAACGAAAAACAAAUAUGUAACACAUAAACAAACGACAACCACUGAAUAACAGAUCAAGAAAACUUUAUUUGGAAAAUACACUCAUACGGGCGAAGCAAACACAUAUAAAACAGAAAGUGAAGAACAACAAAUAUAAACUUAAAAACAUAUUUACUGAACUCAAGUUGUAUCGUUCAGUUUUAUUAUAUAUAUUUCACCUACUCUUAUACUUACACCUAUAGUUUUACAAUUUAACCUUAAUCCUAA